rnacentral:rRNA from 1 species
UCGCCGCAACAGAAUGGCGUCGUCGAGCGGAGGAACCAGACAGUGCUCGGGAUGGCACGCUGCAUGCUCAAGGCAAAGCAGGUGCCGAGCACGUAUUGGGGGGAGGCCGUGCUGACGGCCGUCUUCAUCCUCAACCGCUCCUUCACAAGGAGCGUCGAUGGCAAGACGCCUUACGAGGCGUGGUAUGGGAGGAAGCCCGAUGUACGCUUCCUCCGUACCUUUGGCUGCGUCGGGCACGUCAACACGACACGCCCACAGCUGAAGAAGUUCGAUGAUAGGAGCACCCCAAUGGUGUUCAUGGGCUACGAGACGGGCUCUAAGGCGUAA